AGACCACAGGCCCUGGGUGACCCUGCCUCCCACAGCCCUCACCUCCAGGAGUGACUGUGGGCUCUGGGCCCAGGACUGGCUGCUUGUUGCGGUUCCUUCUCAAAGGGAGCCACUGUCCACAGGUCCAAGUGCCUGCUGGGCGGCUGUUCCCAGAGGCAGCCCCUGCAGGUGUGCAGCGAAGGGGCCAACACAGAGCUCUUGGGUCAAGGCUGGCACGUGCUCCUUGCUUACCUGGAGGUCAUCAGAGUUGCCCCACGCCCCUGGCCUUCGGGCAGGUGGAGGCAUUGGGUUCCUCUAAGGUCUUUGGUUGGGGAAGUUUGGGCCCAGAACACAGCACUCUGUCCUCAAAGACUAUGACGUCACAUGCAGGUUGCGUCACACGCAGGUCGCGGUGCACUCUAUCCUUGGAAGUGUUCCUGGCCGUAGCCAGGCUGAGGGUGCCUGCAGACCCAGGCCUGUCCACAAGAUGUCCCCCCACGGACAUGCCUGGCCGCUGCUCCAGGGAGGGUCAGAGGGGUGAUUGGGGCAGAGGGAUGGAUUUGCCCAAAUGUGGCAGCCAGGCCCCAUGCAUUUGGCAUGGCCAGCUCCUUCAGGAAGGCGGGAGAGAUGGAACAAGGUGGUGACUCUCCAGGGCAGAGCGGCAAGGCCCUAAGGUGUGGACUCCAAGGGAAGCGGGCUCACCCCAACGGGCCAAGCUCCGCAGGUGUGGUGGGCUUUUCCCUAACCCCGGGCCCUGCUGUUUGACAUGGAAACAGCUUUCUUCCUCAGUCCUGCAUGUGAGUGUCCAGAACCGGAUGGUGACACCAGGCAGACUGGGUGCUGUCAUAGGCCCUCCUUCCACAGAGUUCAUGCACCCCUGUGUGCACCAGGCCUGGCGUGGAGUGGAGCCCACUUGAGUGGAGGGAGGCAGAGCGUGGCGACCCGCAGGGAAGUGCCUGUGACUGAGAAGGCACCCCCUGCAGGCCCAGAGCCUCCAUGGUGACAGUUCUGAGCGCAGCAUGCUGCCCAAGUGCAGCACAUCCCUGCCCUGUGGGAUUGUUAGAAGGUGCGCUGUGGCCGGCAUCCCUGGGACAGAAUGGGACGUGGCAUGGGCUGGGUGCCUGCAGUCCUCCUGCCGUACCCACCAUGGGCCCAAGCGCCACCACCCCUUGCCUCGCCCAGGGCUGUCUCCUCCCUUCCCUCCUCCUUGGCCCCCAUGUCCCUGUUCAGGUCUUCCCUGAACCCCACUCUGUUCCUGGAGGGGGAGGCGUCCCUCCUGGGGCUCUGCUGCCAAGUUCGUGGUGCUGACCUUGUGUCUGAGGGCCAUGGCCCCUCCCCUGAUAGGCAGCCCCCAGCGUGAGGACGUCCAUUUCUCCCUGCGUUCCCUGGGCCUGGCUGCUGAUCGAGGGAAGGGUGGCUGCCCCAGCAAAAGGGGCUGCUAGCUCCUGGCUUGAGAGUUCUAGGAUGAGUUGGUUUCAGGAAAUGGAGAGAAUUCUGAAAGUCCUGAAGGUAGCCCUGAUGUUGGUCUUGUGAGUGUGGUGGUUUGACCUGGGCUCUGGGAACAGACUUGGCUUGGAAUCCCAGCUGCACUGUUCAGUACCUCUGUGACCUUGAGCAGGUGACAUGGCCUCUCUGAGCCUCAAUCUCCUCUGAGAAGCGGGUUCACACUAAACACUAAGCACGGCCUCCCUGAGGUCAGAGGUCAGAUGCGUGCCCAGGGCUCGGUGAGGUAUGUGGCAAGAGUCAGUGUGAGAUGAGCAGAGCCUCUUUUUUUUUGAGACAGGGUCUCUCUCUGUCUCCCAGGCAGGAGUGCAGUGGCGCAAUCACAGCUCACUGCAGCCUCUACCUCCUGGGCUCGAGUUAUCCUCCUGCCUCAGCCUCCCAGUAGCUGGAACUAUAGGCACACACCACACCCUGCUAAGAUGGGGUCUCACUAUAUUGUCUAGGCUGGUCUUAAACUCUGGCUCACGUGAUCCGUCUUGGCCUCCCAAGUGCUGGGAUUUCAGGUGGCAGCUGCCACACCCAGUCAAAUGGAGCUUCCUGUUACAACAAGGCUGCUCAGGGAACAGUCACGUCUCCGUCCUAAUACUUACUCUUUCCCAGGGAGGCUCAGCCUGUUGUGGCACUUUGUGUUGAACCAGUGAGUGAAUCAUUAGAAUCCUUGUUUUCCUCAUAGAACUUCCAACCAGGUUUAUUUUCACUUUUAACUUUGCUGUUGCCUAAUGCCCAAAAGCAAGUGGGAACUCUGGGCCUCCCCAGCUGGGUUUGAGCAGGUGCCGGGGUGCUCCGCCUGCAGCCUCCUCCCCGCCGCCCCCUCCUCCCAAACCCGGUGGCUUACGGCACCAGCGUGGCCUCUCCCAGCUCUGGAGGCCAGAAGCCCAUCCUCAAGGUGUGGACAGACCCACGCUCCCUCUGCAGGCUCCAGGGAGGAUUCUUCCUGCCUUUUCCCACUUCUGGUGGCUCCAGGCACUCCCGGGCUUGUGGCUCCAGUUUCUGCCUCCGCCUCCGUGCCGCACUGUUCUGCGUGUCUGUGUCUCCACAUGGUGAUUUCCUCACAGGGACACCAGUCAUUGGAUUAGGACUUAACCUGUGACAUCUUAACUUGAUGACAUCUGCUAAGACCCUCAGGGGGCGACGCAGUUCAACUAAGACCCUCUUUCCAUCCGAGGUCCUAUUCACAGGUACUGGGGUUAGGACUUCACCCUGUCUCUUCUGGGGGCGAUACCCUUCAACCCACAACAGCCCUUGGUGAGUGUCCACAACGCUAAUGAGGUGAGAGUGGCAUCCCCUCAAGCGAACAACUUUCCCCAAAUUGCAGCCAGAUGUGGCCCAGCAAAGAGCCAGGGUGCAGCCAUCAGCAAGCAGAGCCCCCCACUUCUGGAGGGUGUGUGCCGAGAUGCUUCUGGGGAAAGGCCUGGGCCUGGGGCUGGGCUGCAGCUGUGGGACAAGCUGCUGUCUGGGCCAGGAGCCACUCAGCGUUGCCAAGCUGCUGUCCAAGUUAAACCAAUUCAGCAUCUGGCACCUUGUUUACAAGCGUGAUUUGGGGGUUUCUUGCUCUCCAGCUGGCAAGCAGCUGGCAGUGGUCAGCUGAGGCCAGAGCCUGGGGGCACAUCUCCCAUGGCAGCCCAGAGGGCACUGGACACCCCCCACUCUGCCCAGCCCUGUGACCCCAUAUGGAUGCUUUCGCUGGGUGAGGCUGCAGCCCCCGCAGGGAGUGCUGGACUUGGGCGCUUUUGCUUCACCUGGGACUUGAUGAGAUGGGGCACCCGAGACCAGCCACGCAUUCCACAGCUGUGCCCCAGGGUCCAGGGGAUGGGGCUGGGGGUGGUCAGACAAAACCACUGCCCACACUUGGAGCUGGGGGCAGCCGAACAACACCACUGCCCACGCCUUCCUGGCGAGAGAUGGUUCCAGUCUCCCCGGUGCUGGCGCGGGCACGCCGUGGGACAGAAGCGCAGUCAUUCGGCAGAGGCUCCCGGCUGUUCUCACAUUGUCAGACCCACCGUCAAGGUCAUUUCAAUGGCCCCUUUGCCCGGCCGGGCCUCCUGAGUUCCCUCUGAGCCUCAGAGCAGCUCGUACACACAGCUUUGGGUUUCUAAUGGGGAUGGGGUCUUCAGGCCUCAGCCCCUUCUGGGCAUUUCUUCCGUUACAAAGGAAAGGAAAUGUACCAAACACUAGAAACAGUGUUUAAUAAAUAGCAGAUUUCUC
rnacentral:sRNA from 1 species